rnacentral:ncRNA from 1 species
AAAAAAGCGAUGAGAGGGAAAAGUAGAAUGAAGAAAGCCUCACAGAGAGAACUACAUUAGCUGAAAGUAGUUUAGGUAGACUUCCUUUGAACAUGCACCCUUGAGCCUCUUUCUGAACGAAUAUCUGUGUAGGAAAGAGCGUGUUGCGGCGUUAUUCGCAUAGAGAUAACAGAUUUUGAUCUGUUAAACAGAGUGGAACCGCGUAAAUAAAGCGCCUCUGUG